rnacentral:rRNA from 1 species
GUUGAACGCUGGCGGCAGGCCUAACACAUGCAAGUCGAGCGAGGGACGGGCGGGGGAGUAAUGUCUGGUAACCCGCCGGAUGGAGGGGGAUAACUACUGGAAACGGUAGCGAAUACCGCAUACCAUCAGAUUUGCCCAGAGGGGAUUAGCUGGUAGGGGGGGUAACGGCUCACCUAGGCGACGAUCCCUAGCUGGCCUGCGAGGAUGACCAGCCACACUGGAACUGAGACACGGUCCAGACUCCUACGGGAGGCAGCAGUGGGGAAUAUUGGACAAUGGGCGCAAGCCUGAUGCAGCAACGCCGCGUGUGUGAAGAAGGCUUUCGGGUUGUAAAGCACUUUUAGUGGGGAGGCGUUACCCGCAGAAGAAGCACCGGCUAACUCCGUGCCAGCAGCCGCGGUAAUUC